rnacentral:rRNA from 5 species
UGAAGAGUUUGAUCAUGGCUCAGAUUGAACGCUGGCGGCAGGCCUAACACAUGCAAGUCGAACGGUAACAGGAAGCAGCUUGCUGCUUUGCUGACGAGUGGCGGACGGGUGAGUAAUGUCUGGGAAACUGCCUGAUGGAGGGGGAUAACUACUGGAAACGGUGGCUAAUACCGCAUAACGUCGCAAGACCAAAGAGGGGGACCUUCGGGCCUCUUGCCAUCAGAUGUGCCCAGAUGGGAUUAGCUUGUUGGUGAGGUAACGGCUCACCAAGGCGACGAUCCCUAGCUGGUCUGAGAGGAUGACCAGCCACACUGGAACUGAGACACGGUCCAGACUCCUACGGGAGGCAGCAGUGGGGAAUAUUGCACAAUGGGCGCAAGCCUGAUGCAGCCAUGCCGCGUGUAUGAAGAAGGCCUUCGGGUUGUAAAGUACUUUCAGCGGGGAGGAAGGUGUUGUGGUUAAUAACCGCAGCAAUUGACGUUACCCGCAGAAGAAGCACCGGCUAACUCCGUGCCAGCAGCCGCGGUAAUACGGAGGGUGCAAGCGUUAAUCGGAAUUACUGGGCGUAAAGCGCACGCAGGCGGUCUGUCAAGUCGGAUGUGAAAUCCCCGGGCUCAACCUGGGAACUGCAUUCGAAACUGGCAGGCUUGAGUCUUGUAGAGGGGGGUAGAAUUCCAGGUGUAGCGGUGAAAUGC